CCAACAGGGAUUGCCUCAGUAACGGCGAGUGAAGCGGCAACAGCUCAAAUUUGAAAUCUGGCCCCAGGCCCGAGUUGUAAUUUGCAGAGGAUGCUUCUGGCGCGGUGCCUUCCAAGUCCCCUGGAACGGGGCGCCAUAGAGGGUGAGAGCCCCGUCUGGUUGGCCGCCAAGCCUGUGUGAAGCUCCUUCGACGAGUCGAGUAGUUUGGGAAUGCUGCUCUAAAUGGGAGGUAGACCCCUUCUAAAGCUAAAUACCGGCCAGAGACCGAUAGCGCACAAGUAGAGUGAUCGAAAGAUGAAAAGCACUUUGAAAAGAGGGUUAAACAGUACGUGAAAUUGUUGAAAGGGAAGCGCUUGUGACCAGACGUGCGUCGGGGUGUUCAGCGGGCGUUCUCGCCCGUGCACUCGCCCCGGUGCAGGCCAGCGUCGGUUCGGGCGGGGGGACAAAGGCGUCGGGAACGUAGCUCCUCCGGGAGUGUUAUAGCCCGGCGUGUCAUGCCCCCGCCUGGACCGAGGUUCGCGCUCCGCAAGGACGCUGGCGUAAUGGUCCCCAGCGGCCCGUCUUGAAACACGGACCAAGGAGUCGAGGUUUUGCGCGAGUGUUUGGGUGUCAAACCCGCACGCGUAAUGAAAGUGAACGCAGGUGGGAGCUUCGGCGCACCACCGACCGAUCCUGAUGUUCUCGGAUGGAUUUGAGUAAGAGCGUAGGGCCUCGGACCCGAAAGAUGGUGAACUAUACGUGAAUAGGGUGAAGCCAGAGGAAACUCUGGUGGAGGCUCGCAGCGGUUCUGACGUGCAAAUCGAUCGUCAAAUUUGCGUAUGGGGGCGAAAGACUAAUCGAACCAU
rnacentral:rRNA from 1 species